AGUGAACGCUGGCGGUAGGCCUAACACAUGCAAGUCGAACGGCAGCACAGUAAGAGCUUGCUCUUACGGGUGGCGAGUGGCGGACGGGUGAGGAAUACAUCGGAAUCUACUUUUUCGUGGGGGAUAACGUAGGGAAACUUACGCUAAUACCGCAUACGACCUACGGGUGAAAGCAGGGGAUCUUCGGACCUUGCGCGAUUGAAUGAGCCGAUGUCGGAUUAGCUAGUUGGCGGGGUAGAGGCCCACCAAGGCGACGAUCCGUAGCUGGUCUGAGAGGAUGAUCAGCCACACUGGAACUGAGACACGGUCCAGACUCCUACGGGAGGCAGCAGUGGGGAAUAUUGAACAAUGGGCGCAAGCCUGAUCCAGCCAUACCGCGUGGGUGAAGAAGGCCUUCGGGUUGUAAAGCCCUUUUGUUGGGAAAGAAAAGCAGCAGGUUAAUACCCCGCUGUUCUGACGGUACCCAAGGAAUAAGCACCGGCUAACUUCGUG
rnacentral:rRNA from 1 species